CACUGUCACUCCUACGGGGAGGCAGCAGUCGGGGGAAUAUUGCACAAUGGGCGCAAGCCUGAUGCAGCCAUGCCGCGUGUGUGAAGAAGGCCUUCGGGUGUAAAGCACUUUCAGUCGUGAGGAAGGUAGUGUAGUUAAUAGCUGCAUUAUUUGACGUUAGCGACAGAAGAAGCACCGGCUAACUCCGUGCCAGCAGCCGCGGUAAUACGGAGGGUGCGAGCGUUAAUCGGAAUUACUGGGCGUAAAGCGCAUGCAGGUGGUUUGUUAAGUCAGAUGUGAAAGACCCGGGGCUCAACCUCGGAAUAGCAUUUGAAACUGGCAGACUAGAGUACUGUAGAGGGGGGUAGGAAUUUCAGGUGUAGCGGUGAAAAUGCGUAGAGAUCUGAAGGAAUACCGGUGGCGAAGGCGGCCCCCUCGGACAGAUACUGACACUCAGAUGCGAAAGCGUGGGGAGCAAACAGGAUUAGAUACCCUGGUAG
rnacentral:rRNA from 1 species